rnacentral:lncRNA from 1 species
GCUGGUUGAACUAUACAAAUAUAUCAUGUGCAAGGAAAACAUAAUCAGAAACGACAGAAGACUGAUCAUUUACACACCAUUCGAUUUUUGUAAUAUAAGGAUGCGCUCGUCCCUGUAAUUUUGUCAAACAAAACAUUAUAGCCUGUUGAAAGAUGUGACUGCUGAUAAAAUCAACCUGAACCCAAACUCUUACCUAUUCUUUUUGGUUUUCUUUUGCGCAGCUUGAUAAUGACACUAAAGUCAGAUUCCAUGUCAUAUAUAGGAGGGCCCCCAUAGCAUGAUCCGGCCGUAACUGGCCGCGCCUUCUAGCAGCAGCUGCAACAUGCUACACGAAUGUGUCCACAUCGAUGAAUUCGUCGGCCUGCCGCGCCUUCUAGCAGCAGCAUCACCACCAC